AAACACCCACAUACCACACACACACCACCUACUACACACACACCACUCACCACACACAAACCACCUACCGCACACCACACACACCCCACAUACCACACAUCACACACACCACACACACACCACCCACCACACUCCAUACACACCCCACAUAUCACACGCCACACAUACCACACACACACACCACCUACCACACACACACAACCCACCACACACACACCACUUAGGCACAAACACACACCACAGGUACACACAACACACACACAAACCCCACACACCAAACACCACACACACACUACCUACCACAUGCUACACACACUCCACAUACCACACACACACAACACAGACACACACAACAAACGACACAUACACCCCACACCUCACACACCACAUACACAUAUCACCCACCCCACACACAGCACACCCCACACACACACCACCCACCACACACACACCCAACACACACCCCACAUACACACCACCCACUACCCACAUACCACAGACACCCCAUAAACCCCACACACCACACACACACCACCCACACCACACAUACAUACCAUCUGCCAGACACACACCACACAUACACACCACACAGGCACACAGCACAUAGCACACAAACCACACAUCUUAUAUACCCCCCACACUGUACAUACCACCUAGUACCCACACCCACCACACACCACAGACACACCACACAUGCACAUAUCACACACACACUGCACACCAACAGGCACAUACACCACACAUCACACAGGCACACACACCACACAUACUUCACACACUACACAGGCACACACACACGACACAGGCUCACACACACACACACUCCAGUGCUUUCCCGUGUCCCCUCUGUCUGCCAUACCUUCUGGGGUCUGUCCCACCCUUGCAGCCUCCCCACAAGUCCUUGGGGAGGUGGGAAGGCAUGUGGUGGGUCAAGCUCUAGGGGGACCGAAUGUGAGGGACAGGCAGGUGACAGCCAGCUCUAGGGCUGUGCAGGCAGCAACUUCAAGGACUGGGCUGGGAGCCAG
rnacentral:lncRNA from 13 species